AGGAACCUACCCUAAGGAAAUAAUUGGAUGAGUAUAUGAAGGUGUACCUAACAAGGUAUGACUAUAAAAUGUGCUAACCUCUUCUUCAGAGACUUCAACAACUGAUGAACCCAUUCUUCCUUUCAUUACUUUGCUUCCACCACCAGUCAUUGUACCUGAGAACAGAGGACGGAAGUCAGACUGAGAUGUCUUCCCCCAGACUGAAUAAAAAUACACUCAGUAAUAGGAAUAUAACCACCAUUA